GAGGGUAGAGCUCAGUGGUAGAAUGCGUGCUUAGUGUGCAUGAGAUCCUGAGUUCAAUCCCCAGUACCUCCA
rfam:Camelus ferus unplaced genomic scaffold scaffold38411, whole genome shotgun sequence.